UAGAUAGAUAGAUAGAUAGAUAGAUAGAUAGAUAAAUGGAUAGAUAUAAAGCUAUGUAAAGGAGUGUCCCGUGAGUGAGGAGGUUUGGAACCUACGUGGGCUACCAGCGGCUUAGACUAAAGGUAACAAUGCUUAUAUAGAACGAUGCUCACCGAAAAUGGUUAGUUAGCUAUUGAGUGUCUCUAUUGCAAACAAGGGAAGGAGAAGGGGGGAGUAGGAGGAGGAGGAGUAUGAGGAGGUGAAGUGGAAAGCAAUGAGGCACAAUGGAGCGAUUUUUUCUGAAGACGUUGUGCAGGAAAGACGUGUGUGCGGGAGGAAGCGUCCGCCAGCUGAUUUGUCAUGAGAUUGUGGGUUGGUUUGGUAUCAUCCCUAUCGUGGCGUUGUUGCUGUAUGCCGGGAAGGUGGAGGUGGCAACCCUAGGCACAAGUCAUGGGCGUAAGUCGCAAGAUGGUGUACGUCCCGCCUAAGUCUGGCACCGGCGUCUCUACAUCUGCCCACUACCAACUUGGAAGAGUUGCAACAGUGUAUACAACAAAGUAGAAGGUCGGGUCAUGGCGGCUACCUUUAACAUGGGACAGAUGUCUCGGGCGUCAGUCAGAAGAUGGCGCACGUCCCGCCUGUCACCGGUUGUCUCUACAUCUGCCACUACCAACUUGGAAGAGCCACUUGCGUUUCAGCCGAGCCAACUCUUCAGCCAUAGCGGCGCUCGAGUCAGACCUGUACCCGCCCAAAUGUCUAAGCUGCAGCAUGCUGCUGCUAGUCCUGCACCUGCUCCUCAUCUGUCAAUGUGAUAGCUGUCCAUCUGCAGAAGAGGACGCAGACCGCACACGCGGAGUCGUGCGGUCCGGCUCGGGUCCUGCCACUACUGAAAAGAGAACCAAACCAGCGUGUACUAAUAACCAACCUGCGGCAGGAAAGUGGCAUUUCUACGGACCCUGCUUCGCACCAGCUCUGCCCUGACAACGUGGUGCCAUCCAGAGAUGGACACUGCCUUGCUGCACCUUCUACAGUGGAAUUGGACCACCCAGGGAAGGAGGACGGGACUGCUUUGUUUCAGUUAACCUAGCCUAACUAAUACAUGUUGCUAAUCAC